rnacentral:tRNA from 2 species
UGGCAGGUAGUUUAGCGGCCUAGAAUACCAAAAACAUCCUUGAUUCACCCCUUGCCUGAAAAGGCCGACGAGUUGAGGGUUAUCGCCUUUCACGCGGGAGACGCAGGUUCAAAUCCUGUCCUGCCAC